AAUAUUUCGCAAUGGAGGGAACUCUGACGCAGCGACGCCGCGUGAACGAUGAAGGCCUUCGGGUCGUAAAGUUCUGUCCUCAGGGAAGAAGAAAUGAAGGUACCUGAGGAGGAAGCCCCGGCUACGUUCGUGCCAGCAGCAGCGGUAAUGCGUAGGGGGCCAGCGUUGUCCGGAAUUAUUGGGCGUAAAGGGUGCGUAGGCGGCCUUUUAAGUCAGAUGUGAAAGCCCACGGCUUAACCGUGGGACUGCAUUUGAAACUGGAGGGCUUGAGUAUCGGAGAGGGUAGUGGAAUUCCCAGUGUAGCGGUGGAAUGCGUAGAUAUUGGGAGGAACACCAGUGGCGAAGGCGACUACCUGGACGAAAACUGACGCUGAAGCACGAAAGCUAGGGGAGCAAACA
rnacentral:rRNA from 1 species